AAUAUUUUAUUCAUUAAUUUAAAUUUAUUAAAAUUUUACUCUUUUAGAAAUUAAUAACUUCUGAAUAGAAAAAAAAUUGUGAAUAAAACUUUCUCAAAAAAUUUAAACUCCGGUACUAUUAUGUCAUUAGACAUCUAUUGAACAUGUUAUAUCCAUAAGAUAGUUUCAUUGAUAACAAGAUAACGUAUCUGUGAUGAUCUGCGUAAAAUGAUUUAACUAUACGGAGCAGUCAGACUUAGAUUGUCUAUAACAGCGUUAUUAUAAUAUUCAAUAUCAUGUCGUAAUAAAUAUUUCUAUUGCAUCUUCCUCUUAAUCGAGCCUAUUAACAGUUAAACCAAGUAUAGAGUAUACAUACAUACUUACUAUACAAAAACGUAACAUCAUAUUCAGAAGAUUGGAAAUAAAUAUUUUUUAUCCUAGUAAAUUCAAAAGUUUAAAUCAAGGAUGUUCAAGACAUUUAUUAUUGUUACUGCCGCUUGCAUAAUUAUUCAGUCGAAUCCAACAUCACAAGAAAAAAAUUUUCUCAUGCCCCCGAAAAUAAAAGUUUACAGUAACUCUGAAGAAUUUCGACAAAUGAAUAGAAGUUUACUUGAAUUAAUUUUAAAUGCAACAGAAAAUCAUCAAAAUCAAUUAUCCGAUUCAAUAAACCCAGCUUUGAUAACUAAAUUUGAUGAUUUUCAUGACAUGUUAACGCAAAAUUUAAAUUUGAAAAAAAAAGUAUCGUCAAGUUUCAAUUCAUUGAGUGACUAUGAAGAUCAAGAUGAAUAUUAAAGAAAAUAUUUAAUUACACGGAAAACAACACUUGUGACCAGCACCAUACGAUUUCCUGACUGUCACAAAACUCGUUUAGCUUUUUGGAAGUUGAGUAGAUUGGCGAUAAGUACAGCGGUAGCCAUGAUCAUAUCCAAAAUGUUACUAGGAUAAGUCGUUACGUUAAAACCAUGAAAUUUUAUCAGAUUACAAAAAUUUUCGUUAAUUAACUCUUUUCUAUCCAUGUUGAAUUUAAACUCAUGAAUUUCUAAAUCAUAUUAUCCCAGUGAACACAUGACCUUGUUUUAACGUAAUACGUAGGUCAUAGAAAUGUCACGGCAUCUUACGUACAUUUUAUGUCAAUCUGACGUUCUACAUGACUUUAAUAUGAUGUAAAAACUUGCGAUCAUAUUGAUGUAAGCAUGACUCUUGUAUGACGUCACAGUUAUGACUUAUGUGUUGCGUACGCUUGACAUCAUUUUGAUGUGAGCAUGACUCUUGUAUGACGUCACAGUUAUGACUUAUGUAUUACGUACGCUUGACAUCAAAUUUACACACAAAAAUCACAUUGUUACGAAGUAAUAAUGUCAUUAUUGUAUAUCAUAAUGACGUAAUUUAAAAAUCGUAUAUUUAUGUCAGUAGCAAAGUCACGGUUCUACGUAAUAUGGAUGUCACUCUUAAAUCAUAUCUUUACAUCAGUGACAAAUCAAUAUUUUAUGCAAUGCUGAUGUAAUUUCUGAGUCAUAGUGUUUUUAUCAUCUAUUUAUUAAAAUAAAACAAUCAUAGAAUGAAUUUUCCAUAAUGUGUAAAUGUGUAAAAAUAACAACUAAAUGUCGAAUUUUUUUGGGGCCAAAGUAAUCGAUAAACUCGAUAAUAGAUUUCAGACGUUUUAGAUUAAAACAUUAGCGUGAGCAUAAAAAAAAGUAACUUUAUUUUUUUAGAUGAUAUACCGAAAAUAUCAUUGAGGAUGAAAAAGAAAAUGUGACGACAGUUUGAACUUUUUUGAUAUUAAGAUUGUAAAGUGAAGUAUUGCAAUUUUUCAAUCGAUUUAAUUUCAUAAAUUUUUGUGAAAUUAUUCAAUGUUUCGCAAAAUUUUAUAUAAGAUUUUUUAAUUUCCAUAUCAUGACAGAAAAUUAAAAAAUUUGAAGAAACUUAAUAAAUUUUUAUAUAAUUUUUUAUAAUUAUCAUCGAGGCCGACAAAUAUUGUUUUUAUAAAAUCUCAUAUAAGUUUAUGGAGUUUUUUUAAAUUUUGUGAAAAUCCAUCACGAAAAUUUAUGAGCUCUGUCUUUACCGGCAUUUCACUCUAAAUACAUCUAUUAAGGACAAAACUUGAACUAUCGUGAUGUGGACCAGUGAUCAACGUUCAGGACUAUCAGCCAAGAGGAGCCGUGCUUCGAACCCAGCAGACGCCCAGGAUUUUUUCAUCAUUUACUGCUAUCAAUUCGUGUUUCUGAAUUUGUAAUGCGUUCGCGUGAUAAUAACCAAAUCAACAAUUCGGUAUUUAAUUUUUUCUUUUUUUUUUUAAAUAUUUUUUCCGGAUUGAUGAUUUUGACAUCACCCAUAUGUCAUACUGACGUCAUAGAAUGUCACACAGACAUCACAUUUACGUCAUAUAUACGUCAUUAGUUUUCCAUCAUAAUCUUACGUAAAAAAGUGGGAAAUAAUGAGUCACACCUGACUCAUUCGUGACUUAUAUCUUGCUAUUUUGAUAAAUUUUCAUAGAUUCUCUCUUACCAACAGAAGAUCAGUAUCUUUAACCGUUAGCGGAGCAACAGUUAAUAUUAACUUGUUGCCAAGUUAAAUGUAAUAGUUAUCCCUGAUAACACCCCUGAUAGCCAAGUUGGCGAGAAACUGACGAGAAACUUGCAGCCGCAACUGGAACCAAGUUGAUCGCCAACAGUUGGUACCUCCAAUAGUUGAUGGACAUUUUCUGAGAAAGUUGGUGGCAAAAGUUGUAAAUCCAAAAAGUUGACGAUCACUUUCUGAGAAAGUUGGUGGCAAAAGUUGCUUGCAAAAGUUGGUGAUCAUAAGUUGACGGUAAG